UUAUUUAUUAUAAUUUUUAUUUAUUCUGAAACAGUAUAAAUUAAUUAAUAGAAAAAGAAACUCCCAAGAAGUGUUUUAAAAUGAAAAGGAAAUCGGUUUUAUUUAUUUUAGAUAAUAAAUAAAAUAAAAACUUUUAGGCGCUAAACAGCAGCCAAUCAGUUCUUCAGAUGAUCCAAGGUGCAAAACAGCAGCCAAUUAUAAUAAUCCUUUAAGGGACAGAGGCGGAGCCUGUUGGUUAGUGGACGUCAAUCCCUGGCUGUUUUAACCCAGAAAGUUCUGCGGGAGAAGAAAGACAGGUCAUGUAAGAAGUUCUCAGUUCAAAGUAUUAUAUAAAUACUAGAAAACGCUAGAAUUCAGUGCUGUAGAUAGUGAGUAAAUCACUACCAAGCUGACCGCUGUUAGAUUUGAGGCUGCAGAGUGGAGGAAGGGAGAGAGGCUCACUUAUUGUGCCUCGUGAAACUUUGCCAGUUACACGCUCCGGUAAUCUCCAGGUGGAGGUAGAACCUGGUGUCCAUGUGCCCUGGGGUGGUGUGUGAAAACCCUGGAUAGGAUUCGGCCAGUUUUUUUUGUUGGGUGGAAUGGAUUGGAUGAUCUUCCCGAACACUCCUCGUGUCGUUCAGCUGCACACGGCCGGUGCAGUGCGCGGUGCUAGGAUGGCGAGCCAAGCCCGAGGACCCAAGUGACUUCAUUACACUUCAUUCACAUUUUUCAAACACUUGAUAGUGAACAUUAAAGAAAAUUUGUGGAUUGUUUAUUUUUUUUUUGAAAGAAAAGGACACUCUUGAAUACAAAGAUACUGAAAAGGGUUAAACUUUAAUUGGUUGGAUUACUGUUAUUUAAUUUUGAUAAUUUCUAAGUGGUUUUGAUAUUCAUUUAUUGUUUCUGCUACAGAGAAUUGUUAUUUUUUAUUUUUUUGUUGAUUGUUAAAGGGUAUACUAUUGGUGUAAAAUAACCUAGAGGUUUAAUUGGAUAACACUAAUUAUAACAAUACUUACCUUUAAUUACUAAUUCAUCAGACAUAGAAGGAAGAAAUAAUUAAUUAGUUAUAAAAUACCUAUAAAUAGAUUAAAAUAAUAAAAUAAUACUUACCUUAACUGCAUAAAUACAUCUAAAAUAAAGAACACCGGUGAUUAGUAUGGAGAAAUAAUAGUAAUUAGUAUAAUAUUAAAUAUACAGAGUGAAAUACAAAGGGAAUACUUACCAUUUUUUUUGUAUUGGUGACCAAGGUUAUUGAAGGUUGUUUGAAUUUCUUUUGGAAAACCAGUAACUGUGAAUUGUUUGUUUAUUUAUUUACAGAAUUUAUUUUUGUUAGUGUUUUAUUUAUCUACUGGUAUUGAUUCUGACAUUUUAAUACAUGUUAUUGCUGCACAAA